UAAGCAUAUCAAUAAGCGGAGGAAAAGAAACCAACAGGGAUUGCCUUAGUAACUGCGAGUGAAGCGGCAAAAGCUCAAAUUUGAAAUCUGGGGCCUCACAGCCUCCGAAUUGUAAUUUCGCGAUGCGUCUUUGACGGAUGGCCCUACUUUAAGUUCCUUGGAACAGGACGUCACAGAGGGUGAGAAUCCCGUGAUAGGUAGGGCCUGAAGCAUAUAAUACGUAUUCUACGAGUCGAGUUGUUUGGGAAUGCAGCUCAAAAUGGGUGGUAAAUUUCAUCUAAAGCUAAAUAUUUGCGAGAGACCGAUAGCGCACAAGUAGAGUGAUCGAAAGAUGAAAAGCACUUUGAAAAGAGAGUUAAAAAGUACGUGAAAUUGUUGAAAGGGAAGCGCUUGAGACCAGACUCCAUCUGUGGUGAUCAGCGGUGCUUUUGUGCCGUGCACUUGCCACUUAUGGGGCCAGCAUCGGUUCUGGCGGUGGGAUAAAGUCGAGAGGAAUGUAGCUGUCGUUUGGCAGUGUUAUAGCCUCUUGAGCAAUGCCACCAGCCGGGACCGAGGACCGCGCUUCGGCUAGGAUGCUGGCGUAAUGGUCUUCAGCGACCCGUCUUGAAACACGGACCAAGGAGUCUAACAUCUAUGCGAGUGUUCGGGUGAAAAACCCUUGCGCGUAAUGAAAGUGAACGGAGGUGGGAACCUUAGGGUGCACCAUCGACCGAUCCUGAUGUCUUCGGAAGGAUUUGAGUAUGAGCAUAGCUGUUGGGACCCGAAAGAUGGUGAACUAUGCCUGAAUAGGGUGAAGCCAGAGGAAACUCUGGUGGAGGCUCGCAGCGGUUCUGACGUGCAAAUCGAUCGUCAAAUUUGGGUAUAGGGGCGAAAGACUAAUCGAACCAUCUAGUAGCUGGUUCCUGCCGAAGU
rnacentral:rRNA from 1 species